rnacentral:rRNA from 1 species
UACAGAGGGGGCAAGCGUUGUCCGGAAUUACUGGGCGUAAAGGGCGCGUAGGCGGCCUUCUAAGUCGGACGUGAAAUCCCUGGGCUCAACCCAGGAACUGCGUCCGAGACUGAAAGGCUUGAAUCCGGGAGAGGGAUGUGGAAUUCCAGGUGUAGCGGUGAAAUGCGUAGAUAUCUGGAGGAACAUCGGUGGCGAAGGCGGCAUCCUGGACCGGUAUUGACGCUGAGGCGCGAAAGCCAGGGGAGCAAACGGG